rnacentral:rRNA from 1 species
UACAGAGGUGGCAAGCGUUGUUCGGAAUUACUGGGCGUAAAGGGCGCGUAGGCGGUUCGUUAAGUCCUGUGUGAAAUCCCCCGGCUCAACUGGGGAACUGCACAGGAAACUAGCGGGCUUGAGUUCGGGAGAGGGAAGCGGAAUUCCGGGUGUAGCGGUGAAAUGCGUAGAUAUCUGGAGGAACACCGGUGGCGAAGGCGGUUGACCUGGGG